GGGAGACAGACGCCGGGUGCUAACGUCCGACGUCAAGAGGGAAACAACCCAGACCGCCAGCUAAGGUCCCCAAGAUUGGCUAAGUGGGAAACGAAGUGGGAAGGCUAAAACAGUCAGGAGGUUGGCUUAGAAGCAGCCACCCUUUAAAGAAAGCGUAAUAGCUCACUGAUCGAGUCGUCCUGCGCGGAAGAUGUAACGGGGCUAAGCCAGUCACCGAAGCUGCGGAUGCGUGCUUGCACGCAUGGUAGGAGAGCGUUCCGUAAGCCUGCGAAGGUGCCUUGUAAAGGGUGCUGGAGGUAUCGGAAGUGCGAAUGCUGACAUGAGUAGCGAUAAAGGGGGUGAAAGGCCCCCUCGCCGUAAGCCCAAGGUUUCCUACGCAACGUUCAUCGGCGUAGGGUGAGUCGGC
rnacentral:rRNA from 1 species